rnacentral:rRNA from 1 species
GAUGAACGCUGGCGGCGUGCCUAAUACAUGCAAGUCGAGCGAAGAGGGGACGGGUGAGUAACACGUGGGUAAACUCCCUUAAGGCUGGGGUAAACUCGGGAAAACGGUGGUCAACCGGAUACUUAUCGCAGGAUGCGUUCUGCAUUAGCUAGUUGGUAAGGUAACGGCUUACAAAGGCAACGAUGCAUAGCCGACCUGAGAGGGUUAUCUGCCACACUGGAACUGAGACACGGUCCAGACUCCUACGGGAGGCAGCAGUAGGGAAUCUUGCGCAAUGGGCGAAAGCCUGACGGAGCAACGCCGCGUGAGUGAUGAAGGUCUUCGGAUCGUAAAACUCUGUUAGUAGGGAGGCGGUACCUAAUCAGAAAGCCACGGCUAACUACGUGCCAGCAGCCGCGGUAAUAC